UGUACGUGUAAUAUGGCGUUUUACGAUCGUUACAAACUUCGGCCACCAGAAACGGUGGCUACGAACAGCUGCAAAGUUCGAUCGACUGUGUAAGAUAAUACAUAAAUUAGCACAAUCAACAGUAACAUGGCGAAACAAAUAGUUGUAAAUCCAUCGGCUCCUAAUGCGCAUGAGCCGUGAGCAAAAAAGUAGCUGCUUAGAGAUUACGUGGCAUGAUAUGAUAAAAAUAUACGUUCCAGCCGAGCACUAGAUUCUAACGCAGACCAAAGGUUCUUCUUUCAGGAAGGAAUGAGAGUGUAUCGAAAAACACAGAUGGGAAAUAAAAAUGAGAAAAAAAUUUUAGAUAUUUAGUGAACGGCGAGAAGAAAAAGGAGGGAAAGAAUUGCAAGAAACGAUUGUGACUCGUAUAAAUAUAAGUUUAUUUACAUUGCAACAGAGAGGAUCCUUCUGUCAAAUAAGUGACACAAGGGUGAUUACGACUGUAAACUUGAACAUAGUUUUAAGGAUUAAAUGUUAAUUAAAAAUAAUAAUAAUUACAACAAUCCUAACUGUGUGUACGUGUAUGAGUAAAAAGAUCUUACACGCCUUGCCGAUUUCAAUAAAUAAUGUACAUUCGU